rnacentral:rRNA from 1 species
CCUGGCUCAGGAUGAACGCUAGCUACAGGCUUAACACAUGCAAGUCGAGGGGCAGCAUAUAGAUAGCUUGCUAUCUGUGAUGGCGACCGGCGCACGGGUGAGUAACGCGUAUCCAACCUGGCCCAUAGUAGGGAACAGCCCGGCGAAAGUCGGAUUAAUGCCCUAUGUUGUUUGAAGCGGACAUCUAAUUCAAACCAAAGAUUCAUCGCUAUGGGAUGGGGAUGCGUCUGAUUAGGUGUUGGCGGGGUAACGGCCACCAAGCCGUCGAUCAGUAGGGGUUCUGAGAGGAAGGUCCCCCACACUGGUACUGAGACACGGACCAGACUCCUACGGGAGGCAGCAGUGAGGAAUAUUGGUCAAUGGGCGUGAGCCUGAACCAGCCAAGUAGCGUGCAGGAUGACGGCCCUACGGGUUGUAAACUGCUUUUAUGCGGGGAUAAAGUGUGGGACGCGUCCCACAUUGCAGGUACCGCAUGAAUAAGGACCGGCUAAUUCCGUGCCAGCCGCCGC